CUGAUGUAAGAAGGUUGUAUAAUAUCUCUCCCCAGAGAGCAAAUAACAGGAAGCAAGGUAUAUAUAGCACAACCCUCAUGAAUCAAACAUUGAGAACCAUACAGAAGUGGGAAGACUUCUCACCAGCAAUGACGGGGACUUUUUUCACUCCAUUCUUCCUUGGUAAUUUGCCCACUAUAUUAUAUGCAGACUUUAUUUAGUUUUGCUUUAAAAUUUAAUGCAUGAUAUAAAGGAGAUGUGCUGCAUAUAUAUUAAUGGUGGGAAUUGCAUUUUCCAUAUUGCUGAUAGCUACUGUAACUGAAUAAGUUCUAACAUAUGACUCAUGCAAUAUAUCUUUAAACUCACAUAUAAUCAUUUUUAUUUAUCAAUACAUUUUAUAACAUAUUGAAAUAUGUGCGAGUAAAUCCAUAUAAUGGACACACAGAUUUUAUUUUCAUCUCCUUCCCUCAGUUUUAGGAUUUUCCCAUUGCCAGGUUUUUCAGCCUCGUCAGAUCAGUGUGAACGAAGGAGAUCCAUUCAGUAUCUACUGUUAUCAAAAUGCUACUAGCAAAGACACAAUGUUCUGGUAUAAAAAGCCCCUGGAUAAAGGAUUGCAGAUUCUUGAGAGCGGAUUUGAUGGCACUAAAGCGGCUGGUGCACUACUGUUCACAUUUAACUCUAAUGACAGGUCCACAGAGUUGAAGAAGACCCAGGCAGAGCCUAAAGAUGCUGCCACAUAUUACUGUGCAGUUAGAGA